rnacentral:rRNA from 1 species
GUGGGGAAUUUUGGACAAUGGGGGCAACCCUGAUCCAGCCAUCCCGCGUGUGCGAUGAAGGCCUUCGGGUUGUAAAGCACUUUUGGCAGGGAAGAAAAGUUUCGGGCUAAUACCCUGGAGCGAUGACGGUACCUGCAGAAUAAGCACCGGCUAACUACGUGCCAGCAGCCGCGGUAAUACGUAGGGUGCAAGCGUUAAUCGGAAUUACUGGGCGUAAAGCGUGCGCAGGCGGUUCGGAAAGAAAGAUGUGAAAUCCCAGGGCUUAACCUUGGAACUGCAUUUUUAACUGUCGAACUCGCGUAUGUCAGAGGGGGGUAGAAUUCCACGUGUAGCAGUGAAAUGCGUAGAGAUGUGGAGGAAUACCGAUGGCGAAGGCAGCCCCCUGGGAUAAUACUGACGCUCAUGCACGAAAGCGUGGGGAGCAAACAGGAUUAGAUACCCGUGUAGUCC